rnacentral:rRNA from 1 species
UGCGUAGGUGGUUUGUUAAGUCUGUCGUGAAAGCCCUGGGCUCAACCUGGGAACUGCGGUGGAAACUGGCUAACUAGAAUGUGGUAGAGGGUAGCGGAAUUCCUGGUGUAGCAGUGAAAUGCGUAGAUAUCAGGAGGAACAUCCAUGGCGAAGGCAGCUACCUGGGCCAACAUUGACACUGAGGCACGAAAGCGUGGGAGCAAACA